GUGCACGCUGGCGGUAGGCCUAACCCAUGCAAGUCGCACGGCAGCACAGUAAGAGCUUGCUCUUACGGGUGGCGAGUGGCGGACGGGUGAGGAAUACAUCGGAAUCUACUUUUUCGUGGGGGAUAACGUAGGGAAACUUACGCUAAUACCGCAUACGACCUACGGGUGAAAGCAGGGGAUCUUCGGACCUUGCGCGAUUGAAUGAGCCGAUGUCGGAUUAGCUGGUUGGCGGGGUAAAGGCCCACCAAGGCGACGAUCCGUAGCUGGUCUGAGAGGAUGAUCAGCCACACUGGAACUGAGACACGGUCCAGACUCCUACGGGAGGCAGCAGUGGGGAAUAUUGGACAAAGGGCGCAAGCCUGAUCCAGCCAUACCGCGUGGGUGAAGAAGGCCUUCGGGUUGUAAAGCCCUUUUGUUGGGAAAGAAAAGCAGCAGGUUAAUACCCCGCUGUUCUGACGGUACCCAAAGAAUAAGCACCGGCUAACUUCGUG
rnacentral:rRNA from 1 species